UUAAUUAUUUCUUUUAAAUCAAUUUUUUCCCCUACUUGUAAUUCGUAUCUAUUAUCUCUAUUAUAAGAUAAAAUUUUAUUUCCAUAAUAUUAAAAAAAAAAAAAAAAUCAAAAUAUCGUUCCAUUUCGGAUUUUACGAUUUCAUUUCGUAUGCCGAUGUCUCGUGGAAAUAGCCUUUAUAUCGUUCGAUCGCUCGUUGUAACGAUCCUUUUAAGAAAAUGGCUCUCGGCUCAAGUAUCCAUAAAACGAUCCGAUAUGUAUUGUAUACGAGAGAUAUACAGUGGUAGUGGACAGUUUCGCAAUCAAACAUCUUCGAGGUUAUAUUUCAACUGAAUUUCUAGAUAUUUUCUCGUUUGUCUUUUAAUAACGCUUAUGGCAUAAAAUUAUAAACGUAGAAAUAUAAAUAUGUAUCAACAAUUGUGUUUCGUUUCUUUUUUCAAAGAAACGAUAAUAAGAUUAAUAACGAGAAGAUUGAACGACUGAGAAACAUAACCUAACUUUCAUAAAAUGUAAUAAGAACGUGAAACGUGUAAAUGUGAAAAAGGUGAUGAAAUGGUAAUAAGAAGAGCAAACAUAACCUAACUUUUAAAAUUGAAAUAAAGAAACUUGGUGGCCAGGAUCGACAAUGAUCCGGGGAUAAAUUAGGAAAAAUGGAAUCGCAACCCCCGUUGAAAGUUGAACUCCGUUGGCCAACGUUUAAUCGUCGUGACAUUUCACAGCAAUUUAACUACGUGCAAAUGACUCUGUUGAGAAAGGAGAGAAAUGGAAGAGAAGAGGGAAGAAACGAAAAGAAAAGAAAUGAAAUGGAUGCACAACUCAAACACGAAAUACCAGGAGAGCACGAUGAUUUUGACGAGAGAAGGUUUUGUAAUUGACAUACCAAUUAAUUUAAUUGGACCGUUACUAUGCUUUUUUUUUUACUCCUCCUCCCCCUCUCCCUUCUUUUUUUAUUUUACACUAUAUGCACGCCUUUUGUGCGUGGACCGACUGAAAUCGCCGAUUACGUUGGCAGAACUCGUCGUUGAUAAUGCACUGUGAACAUAUGAACGUAUUUUUAGUCGAAAAGUUUUGUAUUUGGCGAGGAGAAGAGAGAGAACGAUGGUGAAAAAUUAUUCGUGGAGAGUGAAUUAAUCAGGAUUAUCGAAAAUAUUGGUAAUUUAUUUAUUUUUCAUCAUUCGAAUCUUUCCUUCAAAAUUAAUUUAGCUUCAAAAUUUAUUUUAGAAUUAAUAUAGUGAAAGUAAUUGUGAACUAUGAAAUUUUGAUAAAAAUAUUUGAAAAAUAAAGAAAGAAUAUCUAAGAUCAUAAAUUUAACGAUAUACUUUUGCUAAAAAAAAAAAAAUUUGAAAAAGAUGCUACAGUCUUAUUAUUAAUUAAAAUCGAACAAUGAAUUCGAUAUGUUACCAAUUAUUCCGUUCCAAAUAUUUUUUAAUCCGAAAAUAAGAAUAUCCAUCGAGAUGAUAUCGAAUAAGGGAGGACGUUGAUUCGAUCCUCGAAAGUAAUCAGAAAAAUUUCAUUUGGUCAAAAUAACCGAGAAUUCGUGGAAACGGAUAGUUCCGCUUUAGCGUUGAAAGGGAUCCAACGAGAGAGAGAGAGAGAGAGAGAGAGAGAGAGAGAGAGAGAGAGAGAGAGAGAGAGA